UACAGAGGUCCCGAGCGUUGUUCGGAUUCACUGGGCGUAAAGGGUGCGUAGGCGGUCGGAUAAGUUUGAUGUGAAAUCUCCGGGCUUAACCCGGAAACUGCAUUGAAUACUAUUCGGCUUGAGGUCUGGAGGGGGGACUGGAAUUCUCGGUGUAGCAGUGAAAUGCGUAGAUAUCGGAGAGACACCAGUGGCGAAGGCGACGUCCUGGAC
rnacentral:rRNA from 1 species